UAAAAGUGUGUGUGUAUCCGGAUAGAAGGUGUUUCAAUGAGAGAUCUAUUAUGUCAUUAUUUUUAAGCGUAUCAAACAUCUAUUUUCGAUGCGCAUCAUAUUUUGAGCAGACUAAUAGAAAGUGUACAACACCGUUUGUGAUUUUGCAGUUUGCAUGCAGCUCCUGGGAUUGAAACGUGCAUUCGUCAUUCAGUAGGAAAAUUUUCAAACUUGUAGAAUAAUCUCACAACAUCAGAAGCAAAACUUUUGGCGAGUUUUUAAACAGGAGCAUUUCCAAACUUAUGGAAUGAUCUAAAAACAUCAGGGUCAAAACAUUUGGAGACAUUUACAAAAGGAGAAUUUCCAAACUUGUGGAAUAAUCGCACAACAUCAGAAGAAAAAGUUUGGCGACUUUUAUAAACAGGAGAAUUUCUCAACUUGUGGAAGAAUCUUUAAACAGAAGAACAAAAACUUUCGGCGACUUUUACAAGGUUUGGACCUACUUAAAAAAAAAACUUCAAGCCGAACAAAACCCUG